UCCACUGGGCUCCAGGUCUCCAGAGGAGCCCAUCGGACACGCGCCUGGGACGGGCUGUGACUGACAGAAGGGACCUGAGCGGUGCAUUUGGCACUCCUGUGGCAGCAGACAUCCUUCCCCCUCCCUCUCCCCUCCCUCCCCCCUCCCUCCAUCACCUGCAUGGGCUCCAGUCUCACAUGGGACAAGGAGGGUGGAUAGUCGCACUGUGCCGCGGGUGCCCUUGGGCUGGCUGCCCCUUGCUGUCCUUUCUCUAACUACUAGCUGCGCGGGCCUGUCCCACCUGUCGUCCGGCUUCCUGCAUUGCUUCGUUUCAGGAGGAGGGUCCCAUCUCAUCGUAGUCAGAAGUUGGGGGGUGGGAACGGCGUCAUGCAGGAGUUGAUUGCACAGCCAUUCAGCUCCUAUAUGAUGCCUUUCUUCACCCCCUUCAACCGCGUGUGGCCUCCGGACCCUCCUCUGCGCCUUGAGCUUCACCGGGAUGGGAUGGAUGUGUAGUCCAGCUUGCUACUUCCGUGCAUGUUUUCUUUCUCCCCGCAGCUCUCCAAGUUCCUAGAGGGGAAUGCCUGGGGCUGGGCCAUCUCUGAGGUCCUUCCUUGGAGGGGGAAGCUGUAUCCCUGGUGGGACAUUCCCUGGGGCUGGGCCAAGGGUCACCCCCUGACUCUGUGGCCAAGGGUAGACAGGUCAGAGGUCGAUCCUGGGCCUACCCUGGGGCUUCUCCCACUGGGAUUCCAGGAGCUGUUCUCUCUUGGAUGCCCUCUGAGGGGACCCAGCUCACAGGACAAAGGGGUGGAUCCCAGAGAGAUGGUGUCUUUGUUUCCAGGACAGGGGGCAGGGCUGGAACAGAGCAGGGCUGAGCCAUACCAGUGCUGCCAGAACAGGGUCUCCUUGAGGGGCCUCUGCCUCUAUCCAGGAUUAUUUUUUUAUGACCAGGAGGCUGAGGUCCCUUACAGGCGGCCUCUCACUCUCUCCUUGAGCCCUUCUGGAGACGUCUCAUCUCACUCCCUGCAGACCGUGGAUCCCCUGGGAGCUGUCAGAGUCACCUUGUUCUUCCUCUGUGGCGCCCCUGCCGAGGCUGGGUGCCCAUAGACACUUCAACAGCACGAUGAACGACUGGCAUAGAAUCCUGUCUUCUGUACCCCAAUAGCUUAGGUCAUUGCAUGCAUAGGUGGUGGUGGGGGGGCAUCUCCAUCCCCACAGCACUACGGUUAUUAACUGCAUGUACCAGCUAUGGCAGCCAGCCCAGGCACACAGGAGUAACCUGAGUGGGGGGCCUUGAAGCCCUGAAAGGACUUGGGAGCAGGACGGGGAGGACCCGGGCCCCCACCCUCCCCUUUCCUUCAUCUCUCCCCGUUCCCUGUGCCCUUCCUCACCUCCCUCCACCGCCCUUCUCCUACCUUGUGCACCUUACCUCUUUUAUGGUGUCAGGAUUGUCAUGCUGGCCCCCUGAACUCACACAGGUGGAUGAAGUCCAGAUGAGGUUCGCUGUUCAGGUCUCAGAUCAUGUCCGAUGGGCAUAGAUCAUAACAAGUGGUCCCCUGUGCCCAGCAGCAGGGCUAAAGGUGGGUAGGGGCAGCUGGGGUGGUGGUGAUAGUUUCUCUGUCACCUUUCCCUUUCUUACUAUGGGGCCCAGUCCAGAUUACCUAGGUGUGGGGGCAUCUUCUUCCUCUGCUCCAGCCUGGUUAGGAGCUGGUAAAACUCUUGGCUCAGGGUCCUGCGUGGGGACCCCUAAUGUGACCCAUGGCCACCUGUAAAAGGGAGUAGCAGAUCCAGUCUUGCUGGUGAAUAGCUGGAGUCUAGGUUGUCACCAGCUCUGGAAGUGAUAUGCCUGGCUGAAGCCUGCAGGGGCAUCUUAUAAGGGGAGGACGGAGGCAAGGGAGGGGACAAGCAGGGUGGCCAAGGGAGGGCCUUGUGCUCUUCUUUGUUCCUGGAUGCUCUCAGAGCUCCCUGGAUGGGGACUGAAGCUGGCAAGUGGGGGCACUUCCUCAGUGGGUGGAGUCUGCAGUCAGGGGGCUGGUCUCUGAUUUUCACCUUUACUGUGGUGGGAGUGAUGUCAUCAUCACCUAGCAGGAACUUUCACACCAAUUUCUUACUUUGCUUUUUUUUCUCUUCCCCAGGAGAAACAAAAAAGGUUUGUGUUGUGCUUUUCAAUCUCUAUAAGUGGCUCCGCCGAUAACCUGAUAACCUACUGCUUUAACACCAGUUCUCUUUUUACAGCCUGGGCUGCCUUCUUCUCCUGUAAAUGGGGACAAAGCCCCAGCUGGAUAGAUUGGCAGGUCACUGGGCCUUUAUUGGUCUUUCAUAGACUGUGUAUGUGUGGGCUUAUGGGUAAACGUGCCCACCUUUGUGAUGAACAGCACUGGCAGCCUCUUGGCAGGCUCCUGGGCCACUGCUAGGUUUUCUGUUUAACUUUUCUACUUCUGCUCCCACUUGUCAGGGAAGGCCUUGGGUCCCCUGGCCGCAGCAGGGACAUAAGAGGCAUUUGCACGGCCACUGAACCCACAGAGGGCCUCACCAAGCAGGGACAGAAUUGUGUUCUAGAGGUCCAGCUUUAUGUAUGGGGUCCCCAGGAGAAUUUAGUAGGCUACAAGAAUGGUGUGUUUGUUCUCCCCAUGAGGACCCCAGUCCCACCUUGAGGUCAUAGACGCUACUUAGGAAUUCUAAGCAGCGUGUCACAUUGGGCAGGGCGUACUUUAGGAAGCAGAAGCCCUGAUGACAGCCUUGCCUUGAAACUGACCUCCCCUCACAGGUUCCCUGCUUAGGGAAUAGGAAGGCAGGUCAGUGGGAAGACAGUCACCCUGUCACUUGGAGGCUGGGGCUUCCAUAAGCAGUUUAUAAGGGAAUGCUGGGAUCGGCGCAGCCGAGCCUCUGACUUGGACCAUACUGUGUCGUUUUGGGGCUGUCAUAGAUAGACAGAUGGACAACAACAGCCUCUGCCUCUGGGGGCUGUUGUGAUGUCAGCUGUGCGUGGGGUCACAUGUUGGGUUCCGAGACCAUAGGUUAUGUGGGUAGAAGGUCCCAAGGUGAUAGGAUAAAGGCCAUGAAGGAGGUUCCCUAGGCCUCUCUCUGACCGCAGCCUUCUGCAGUCCUCCCUGUACCCCGAUUUUCUGAAGAGAUGACACCAGGAAGUACCUGGAUGAGAUGGAGGGUAGGAUUGCACUCUGUGUUGAUUACACUCAACACUUUAAUUGUGACCCCUUUGAAAUCUUCCAGAAGCCCCCCAUAGCUCUGUGUGAUGGACAGGGAAACUGAAGGUAGGAUGUGAUGUCUUGUUUACAGGGAUCUGGGGUGCGGGACAUUGGCAACUUCUUUAAGAGCAGGAGAAACUGCUAAAAUGAGGCUAAGCCCCUGACCUUGAACCUGGGAUCCUGCCCAUGAUCUCAUGGUGCUGCCGUCAGGGGUACAUUCCUUGUUAGAGAGGCUAGACAGUAGCCAGUCGCUCCUUAGGACCCACAAGGGCACAGUGGUACUAUGGGCUGGAGAGGGUGUAGAGGUCUUCUGCUCUCAGGGGCAUCUCUCAGGCCCCCACCUCAGCUGUCCCUGCUACAGGUGGGAUAUCACACUGCAUUGUCACGCUGGGUAUCCGGGGCCAUGACACAUUCUCAGGACAAAGGAGGGUCUCUUGGAGUUAACUCGAGGUCAGAUUUCCAGGCAGGAUAUAUAGGGCAGAGCUAGUAUCCCUUGGAUGUGAGGGCCCUGUGCAUUGUAUCUCCAUACUGUCCUUCAGGUCACACCGGGAGGGGUCCUUGGUUUUGUACCCCAGCCUGUUUGCAGACUUCCGGUGGAGGGGGUGCUUCUGAGUAGGGUUACAGGCUUUGUGAGUUUCGGCUACUUCCCCCAUUUCCCUACUUCCCCAGGAACUCCUUCCUCUCCUCAGACCAAUGUACCCCCAGGAAAGCCAUUUUUAGAGUGGGGAUCUAGGCCUUCUUCAUUGGGGGCAACUGUGGGAAUGGGUCCAAGGCAGUCCUGCAGACCCUCCAUGAGCUGUUUCAGGAAAGAGCCAAGCUCUCCUGCCCAGGCUCCUCCCACCCUUGUACAUGCCCACCCUCAACCCUCUGUGCAUACUCCGUCCUUUCUGCUCCCAUGCUCACUGUCCCCCAAACCUGUCUCCUGCUAUCACACCUUCCCUUGAGAACAAACGACAAAGCCAGAUAAUCUUUAUUCUCUUUAUUUGUGGGGCAAAAGCAGAAGCGGGAUGGAAAGUAUAGGAAGGUGCUCCUUCCCAUGACAAAGAGCAGUGGUCUGGGCUCCUUGGCACAGCAGGCUGGGUGUCUGGGGCAUCACCAGUGUCCUUGGGGGCUCCCUUCUUUAUGUGGGGUCUCUGGCCCCUGCACUGUCCAGCUGUCAGUUUUGGGAACGGGAGCCCCACUUGGUGCUACCACCUUUUCUGGUGGUCCCUGAGUCUCAGGGACCUUCAAGGUGGGCAAGUCUAUCAGGUAAGUCGCACUGGUACGUCGGAUGCCCCACAGAGCAGCUCUGCUCAGGUAAGUUCAGAGUUCAGGGUCAGAUGAAGUGUCAAGGGGGCCAAACCAGAUAGUGUGGGGUGGGCUUGUUUGCGUGAGGGGUGGGCUGGGAGGCACGGCACCACAGUACCUCGGGAGGCUGGGAGGGGGUGGGGUGGGGCCCAGGGGAGUUGGAGCACCGGUGAGGAGGUAGAAGUCCGUGGAGCACCCGAGGUCAGUGUCCCAGGAUGCACAGGUGGCCUCACGCCACUCGGGUGGUGGUGGUGGGGGGGGCUCCCUGGCAUCUGCUUGCUUGGCUGCGCCUGCUGUGCCUGUUCUGCAUCUGGCCUGGGGUUACAGGGUCAUUGUUGCUCAUCACUGCUUCCUCCUCUCAUUGAUCUCACUUCCCGCUGUGGGUCUGAGGCCCGUUCAGUUAGGACAGGGUGGCACACAGUCUUGGACAGUUAGCACAGGGUUGCACACAGUCUUGGCUGGUUCUGGGACGCUGACAGUUGGCUAGUCCUUUAACACAGAUGAUGUUGCUGGUUGAUGAAUUGAAGUUGUGGCCCUUCACAAGUGGGUUCCCCUUGGGUCAGGAGUGGUAGGAGGCGUCACUGGAUUUGAGCAAAGCUAGCUGAGGCACAAGGGAGAAUGGCAUCAACUUAGUUGUGUUUUCAGUCAAGUUCAUCAUCUGAUGAGUCUGACAGUGCUUCUAGCCUUGCCUGUUCCCUGGCUGGGGAAAACAGGACCAUUCUGGAGGCCAUGGUGAGGAAUCGUGUGAGGGUCCGGGCCACCUCAUCUCUGCUGAGCAGAGUAAGCCUGCCAUCGGCACCAAGAAUGUAGAGUAGGCGGUUGUUGAGGAAGUCAAGAACCUCUGGGUCCAUCAGAUUUCGCGGGCGGAAGGUGACAGCUUCUUGGUCUCCAAGCAGGGCUUCUUGGUCACCAAGAAGGGCUUCUUGGUCGCCAAGCAGGUCUUCUUGGUCGCCAAGCAAGGCAUCUUCGUCUUCAAGCAGGGCUUCUUGCACGUCGUUGUCCUGCGCGUCCUGCGAGGUGUCUUGCAGGCCGUCAUGCAGGCCACACUGUCGGUAACGUUGCAGGUCGUCUUGCAGGGCUUCUCGCAAGACGACAUCUUCAUCACCAACGACGUGCAGCUCCAAGUAUCGUUGCUGGUAUGGGUCCGGGAAGAUGUCCUCCUCGGGGUUGACUCUGACCCCGAAGAACUCACACAGGGUCAACCAGAACCCUGGGGUAAAUCGCAGGCCCCGUGGGGGCUGGGAAUGCAGGGCAUUCCGAUGCCAGCACCUGGGGCUCAGGUACAGUUCAGCCAGCUCUCGAGCUGGGAGGGUGUUGGCCCGCGCUACCCGGGGCAUCUGGCUGAGCAACUGAGCGAUGGCUGUGGCCAUGCCACUACCUGCAAUGAGGCUUGAGUCCAGGAUGAGCCGGAGUGUGUGUCGGGGCUCAGGCCUGGCCACCUCCAAAGAGGGGGCAGGAAGUGGGGAGAGGGGCUGCCUCACCCUCAUCAUCACCAGGAGGGAUGCCACACCCAGGACACUCUUCCAGUAGAGCAGGCCACGGAAGAAGUGUAGGACAACGGACCGGAUCUGGACCCUGCUGAAGUGGGUCAUGAGGCUGUUGAGGAUCUGUUCUAUUGGGAUGGCAGAGAGUACCUCCUGUACCACGGCCUGCCGUUUCAACUCUGCCCCUUCCUCGUCUGACUCAUCGUCACUGUCCUCGGACUCAGUCUCAGCCUCGGGCUCGGACCCAAAAUCAGAGAACGCGUCCCUUUGGCUUGCCCUCAGGGCAAGAAGCAGCAGUGGCCGCAUGUACCUGCCCAUCGAGAAUCUCAGGUUUGGAUUUCUACGGGACAGAGCUCGGGGGUCAUCAUCAUCAGGCAGCUCCAUCACAUCAUAAUGGAAGUGAGCGAAGAAGUAGAGCCAAUGCCCGGGGAGAAGUACGGUGAGCCUGUCAUUAUUCAGAGAGGCUAGAUCCUCUGUGUUGAGAAGGAUCAUGAUGGGCUCCUCGGUGUUCUCCAGGUAGCGACACCACACCAUGAAGGAAGCCCGGACUGGAAGGAUCCUCAUCUCCACUUGAGGGUACUCCACCUCGAUUGGGGAGAGAUGUCGUGAGUAGAAAGAGCAGAUAGCUUUCUUGCCAGUUUCUUCAUCAGUUUGGAUCAGGGAGGCAUGUAGGAAUGACCCAGUGACGCCUGUUUCCAAGUAGAAUGGAUUCUGAGGCUUGGGAUGGUACAGAAAGGGCGCCUUUCGGAAAGCGCCCUUCAGGCAGUCUAAGGCUUCCUGAUGUUCUUCACCCCAGCAGUAGGGCUCUGAGCUCAGCAGCAGUUUCACCAGGGGCUCUGCCAUGAUGGCAAAGUGCUCCACGAAGUGGCGGUAGGGAUAGAAGAGUUCGAUAACGCUUUGCAGGGAUUUCCUGUCGCUGGGGGCAGGACACCCCAUGAUGACGUUCAUGAUGGUCUUGUUCAGUUUCACCCCUUUGGGGGAGAGGGCGAAACCCAUGAAUUCUGCCUUAUGGCGAUGGAACUGGGUUUUGUCCAGGGAGCAGUGGAUAUUGUUAUUCCGAAGGCGGAGCAGGAUUUGGCGGACAUGAUCAGAGUGUUCCUCCUGGCUCAUUGAGUAGAUCAGGAGCUCUCGGCCAUGGGCAAUCACAAAGAAGCCUAGGAUGUCUUUUAGGAUAAAGUGAAUCUCAGUAUCACAGUCGUCAGCAUAUGAGUCUAUUGUGAAGGGCCGGUAGCAUCUAAUCUGGGAAGAGGUCAAACCAAAUGUUGCUCUCCAUGUGUCUUCUGUGUGUGUGAGGCUGUAGUCCACCCUGGGUUCCUUAGCAAUGUCUCGCAGCUCCAGUUUUGUGAACCAUGUAGCUCCAUGUAACUGGUCAAACAGUUCUGGCAUCAUCUGUAUGUAGUCCUGUCUGUCAUUCAGCAUGUCAUAUAGUAUCCAGAAUUGCUCUUGCUGCCUGGCUUUUUCUUGCGUCCUGGCUCUCACAGAUUGAUAAGGCCUCUUGGAAGAACUCUCAUAAAAGACGUCGUUGCGAUCACUGUCUCCAGCCUGCUGAAGCUCAGAGGGCUCUGAUUCAGAAAGAUCAUCGGAUCCGUCUGAGCUUGGCUGGUCGGAAGUCUCAUCAUCUGCUUCCUUCACGAUAAACACAUCGGCCAGGUCUGAAUACAUUUGCGGCAAUCCGGGUAGCAUGGUCAUGCUAACUUUCUCCAGUGCGAUGCAUGGUGGGGGUGGGUGGAAGCAAUUCUUCAGGCAGUAGGGAGAGUGGAAGGUGCAACGGCCUUUGAGCCAGUCAACUUCAGGUGUAUGGGUACGGAGCCACUUGAUGCCGAGGACCACAGAGAACUGCGAUGAAGGUACGAUGUCAAAUUCGAUGUACUCACAGUGAUUCUGCUGGAAACAUAUCAGGGGUUCGGUGCACAGCGAGAUAGGUUCAUUGCCGGUCAGGGAGCCAUCCACGGUUUGGACUGCCUGUGGAUAGGGUCUCUCGUAGAGCUCCACGUAGUGUUCUUGGGCAAACUUCUCGUCCAUGUAGUUCCCUUCUGCUCCUGAGUCCACCAGGGCCUGCACUGCGACACUGUGGUAGGGGUUCACCCUCACCAUGAGCAGCAGGAAGAGGUGGGCACGAUUGAUGUUGGGAUAAAACGCAUUGGGCAGCCAGCUGCUCACAUACCACUUCUGGGGGAGAGGUGUGUCCAUCCAGAUAAUGCUUCUUGGGCGGGCCUCGGGGGGCAGCCUGAGUAUUGCCCUUCUCUCUGCCAGCUUAUCUUCAAUUUGCAGGACGAGCACCAUCAGGUUCUCCAGGCAUGCCGGCUGGGGGAUUCGAAACAGAUAAUGCCUGAUGUCUUCAUUGAGCCCGUGGCACAGGUGGGCCUGCAGGACUUCAUCUGGCCAGCCCAAGAGAAGUGCCUGAGUUUGGGGAGCCGGCCUUCUUCGAUGGCUUGCAUCAAGAUCCUCUCCGCUACUCUCUGUUGGUGUUCAAUGUCAUGCAUUCGGAGGAACACCGAGAUGAUGGACUCCAUUGUGGCCAUGACUUCUUCUGGAGAGCCCCCGGGCUGAGCCUCCUCUCCGAGGUUCAGCUCAUCUUCUUCAUCUUCCAGGCAUCCUGUUUGGACCCCACAGUACUGGAGACGGGUACCACCGUGCAGCCCCACAGCAGCCAGGGGGUGAACACUGCACCCUGAACAAUAAGUCUCUGCUGGAGCUCCUGUCUGGCUCUGGCAAGCUCCAUUACCAUGCCUGGUGCUACGAAGGCUACAUGGAUACAUCUUGAGGGCUGCAGUUGUGGGCGUGGGAGUAUGGUGAAUCUUGGGAGGUGGUGACUUCGAGGCAGGAAGACUUCAUCCUAAGGGUUCUGAGAGGUAGGGCUAGGGCCAGGGAGAGAGGGUGGUCAGCCCUACAACCCGCUCUUUGGCCAUUUAGAAAGGGAAGGAGGUGUUCCCUUUGUAAACUGUGAAAAACUGUGCAUGAGUUCUUGUUACUAGGGUUUAUCUGAUUAUUGCUUUUAGAACACCCACUCUAAUUGCAGGGGUCAAGAUUUAGACCAGCAUUGUACAUAAGGUGCCAACUUUAAUUUUCCAAUUAGCCUCAUGGCAGGAACAAGCUCUGCACUGAAAAGAAUACACUAGAUUAAAAAGGUAGACUUUCUGUCCAGGACCCUUGAUUAUCAGUGGCAAGAAUGCAGACCCAAUCCAUUGACAACCACUCUUACCAGGGCAAAGAGUGGUUGAUAACCAUUCUACAAGGGACAGGGUAUGGCCAUGCAGAAGACUUAGGGUGGUCCAGCCACACCUGGAACCCCCAUGCCUCAGACAGGGCUAACUACAAUUUUCCAAUCAUAGUGAAAUCUGCCCAGUACUAAGCUCUAUCUUAGUUUUAAUGCCAUCAUUGGAGGGGUGGCAUACCACUUUGCGGAAUUAAACUGACUUUUAGAGGGCUUGGUGCUGACUUCCAGUGUCCGGGAAGGCAGAGGCAGAGACAGGGGCAGGGCUCUGAGCCAGGUUUCUCCCCCUCCCCUGGUAGAUGGCACAGGCAGAAACAGGUGCCCAAAGAGGGAUCAUGCAGUUGCCAUUUGGGGAUGUGGAGGGCCUCGUGGCCAAAGACUGCCUUCAUUCCAGGCUGUUGAUGCAGUCAGUCUCGUGGUCUGACAGGCAGCUAGAAACAGAAGUGGGGGCCUUAGUGUCUGCCUCCAUCUCCCCAAAAGGCUUGUGCUGUCAUUCCCAAUUCAUUUUGUCCUAUUUGGUGUCAGCAGAGGGACAGGAUGGGAUAAGACAGCUGGCUGAGUCUCUAAUUAUAGCUUCUCAAGUAUUUGAACAGAGGUAUUGAGUACCCCAGAACACGUCCAAACUAACCCCUUAACCUUUAGUCCCUAGCAUGGCCUUACCCUAUCCAUUGACCAGGUGCCCCCUUCUCCACUGGGCAGAGGCCAGCAUGGGCACCCUACCCCUGCUUACCUUGGCCGCAAGUGUCCAAGUGGAUCUCCUGUGGUCCUGCUGGACUCAACCCUCUCUUCUUUCCGGAAGCUGUUGGAUGAAUGUGUUUUCUUAGUUAUGAAGGUAACAUCCAGUGGCAACUCCCCAGUCCCUUUGCCUAGUCCCCAGAACAGGAUUCCUGCCUUGAGACAUCUUUUCUGUCCUAUGUAUUUCCCGUUUGUCAGACAUGUCUGGUGAGUGUUCACACACUUGAAUUCUUUCACUCCUUAGGAUAAUUUACAUAGGCAUUGCUUUAGCAAAUUUCCACUUUGGAAAAGAAGAAUAUGAGGCUUGGGGUCUUAUUGCUUGCUAAUUUGUGUGGGUCCAAUGGCCCUAUUGAAGGCCAGGCAAAGCCUAAUUCAUGGCAUGCCUCAGCCAGAGCCCCAGCUUUCACAUGCCCAUGCUGGUACUUGUGUGCCAAGCUUUUUGCCUUGAGAUGGGCUCCUGAACUUGGUGAGCCAUCUCUUCACAGAGGACCCCUAUUCAGUUCUCCAGCAAAUAGAUAAAGAUUUGAUGUGAGUUUGGCACCCAAUUUCCUCUCCCGAUGACCUUUUCUGCCAGGGACAACUGUUGGAAUAUUUCCAGGAUGGUCCCCUCUUCCUUAUGCUGAAUCCAGUCCACAGUGAACCCUUUAAUCAUGGUGGUGAUCAGCAGUACUCAUCUGCUUCAGGCACACAGUAGGUCUACUGGUGGUAAUUAGGCUUGUGUCAAAGGCCCAGGGAGGCAGGGGACUCCUGACUCUCAUAUUUAGUGAUUUCUCCUCUUCUAGGUAGCCUAGAGACAAGAUGGCUGCUUUCUCCCAGGAAGGGAGCAGAUGCCUGGCCAGGAUCAGAAAAAAAGGUCUGUGAAAGGGUCUCUCUUCCUUCUAACAUGUUAAUUUAGAGAAUUUGCAAAUUUGUGGAUUUUCCAGAAUGGAACUAACUGAAGCCCUUCAUUUUGCAGCUGGGGCUCCCUGCCCCCUUAAGGGGCAGGGAGCCAGUGAUUCCUGGGGGAGCCCUGGUCCCUCUCAGGGUGGCCUGUCCUGUGUGACCUCGGGGAGCCAGCAGCCCAGACUCAGUGCCCUGCCAGGUAUGUACGCACCUCUUCCUUUUGCUUUCUGUUCUGUUUUGGGGGAAAGGGGCUUCUAGAGGAGUGGAAGUCACACAGCCCUAACAAGCUGGUGUCCCUGUCUCUCUCUGUGUGUAACCAAGGGAGGCUUUACUACCCAUCACCUGAUGUGAGGAUGACCACUAUGACUCCCUGAUGGGGGACAGAGGCUCAUAUAGGGUCAGAGAGGACAAUCUGCCCUCCGCGGAAGGUGGGUGAUCUUGGAACCCUGCCUGUAGCUAGUUCCCCCUUCUGUAAUAUCGGGGCAGCUAUGCCCAAGUCUUGAUAGCUGAAAUAGAACAAAAUAGAAAAUGGCUGACUGGUGAGGAGCCCCUGUGGCAUGCACAGGUGACUGUUAGGAGGGUCCUUCCUCCUGUGGACCCAUCGGAAAGCCCCCCAUCUCAGCAUUUUGGAGCUAAGAGGAAAACGGAUGAGAGGCUCAAACAGGAAGGCAGCAUUAGGCUCCCUCGGGGUGUUCCCUGGGUUUCCACAGGCUUCUUCUGUGUCCACGUGGAAGUAACCCUGGGCUGCAGGCCAAGUGUAGGGAGUUUCAUCUGGAUUCUGUUUUUUAUUUGUCAUAAAAAUAUUUUGCAUUUGUGAGAUGCAAAAUGAAACAGGCAGACCCUUGCCUGUUAGCUUUAAGGUAUUCCCAGGUACUGCACCCACUCCACAAAGCCUAUGGAUGAAACAGCAGAACCUCAAGUGUGACAGAGAUGAUUAAGGGCUGGCCAUGAAGGCAGAAGGCUAGUUAACUUGCCUCAGAUUUUUUUUUUCCUGCCUAAAAUCAUGGUGGGAAAUGGGUUUGCAUUUCCUCAGAGGAGGCUGUUAUCUAGUAAAUGAAAAUGUGGCUUUGCAAAGACAAAGGUGGACGAGGUUUCAGACUGCUGAGUUUAGAAAGGGUUAAUUUUCUUGGUCGUUGUUCUGGGGGUCUCUGAGCCUCAGGCAUUUCUCUGAAGAUGUGGGUGUAAUCAUAUUAUCUUUGUCACAGACUCAACCCUAAGCGUGUUCUGAGAAUCUGACAGCCUGUGACAGCUGCAGGGACCUCACUAGCUGGGUCUGAAGCUUAGCCUGCAAGCAGGACUCGGGGUACCUUGGAAAGAAAGGGACUUCUGAGGAGGAGUUCAGGGUACCAUGCACUACCUGUGGGUUAGCAAUGGCAAUGCAGGACCGUGCGGGUUAGACGCCGGAGGUACACGGUCAUAGUACGUGCUGCUUGAGAGUCAAACUGUCCAGGCACGCAGCAAAGCCCCGGCUCUUUGCCAGCAAGCAGGCUCCACUGUUGACACACUCGGGCUGCUGUGUCUGCAUUUCUCCAGAGGCCCAUGUCCCCUCUGCCAACAUCUAUCUCAAGUCACAUUCCCUUGGACUUCUCAUUCCAUACAGCUAAUCCCCUAGAACACGGGCCAGCGCAUUAGCUUUCUGGGCCUCUUAAGGGCCGAAAAGGAAAAUGUUCCCCCAUGGGUACAUUGCAAACACUGAGGGCGGGAGACCACGGUGGUGAAAUCAUCGCCUGAGGCUCACACCUGCCGGCUACAUGUCACUGACAAAGCUGCACAGGCAGUGCUAGGCCUUCAGUCUUGGAGGACAUAAAAUAAAAAUUUAAAAAAAGAAAAAAGAAAAAAAGGAAGAUAAACCUUGAGUCCCUGUGUGUACAGAACGGGCUUUGCACACCUAUAACUGACUUGUAAUUUGUCAGCUAAAAUGCUUGUUGGAUUUGUUUUUUGUUUGUGAAAGCCAAAAAGAAAGAAAAAAACUCUAAACAAACAAAUAAAAAAAAUAACCUACAGAAAAACUACCACACAAAAUAUUUAUUGUAGUUAUACAGGAAACGUACUGCUAAUUAAUAUGGUGGUGGUAGCACUUAGCCUCUCCCUCAAUCCCCUCCUCAAAUUAGGGGCUGUGGUCCUUCUGGGCUCCUGCAUUUUCCUGUCCAUUUGCAUAUGUCUAAUAAGCACACCACCUGAGUAUAUGACUUUGUUUCUUUUGUAUGGGGGCUAUUUCAGAGCUAGUGUUUUUCCUUGUGCAUUUUGUAGCAGCUUGUUUUUCUUCUCCCCAGAAUGUGCUUGGCAAUAAUAAAGAUCCAUAGCCUUCCUUAUGACACCCAGCACCUCACAUUCCCAAACGGUGUACACACUGGAGUUGAUUUAACCAUCUCACUGCCACCCUGAAAUCUGGGGUCCUUUAUCUUGGCAGGUGUAAGUAAUUAUUGAGUUAUUUGGAAUUGGGGAGUGAGCUCACGAGUAUUUAUGACAUUAAUUCAAAUGAAUGUAUGAAUGCAUACAUUAUCAGAAUAAAAGGCGAUAUGCCUUCAUCCAAUGAUAGGACAGUGUCUAUGAACAAAGGAUCAUGAUUAAUCUGGUUCUUUAUGAAAUCCAGAGGUCCAUUAAAAGACAAUAGGUCUAUCUGUUUUCCUCUUUUUAAGAGCUGUUUAAUAUUCUGGCAUAUGUAUGCCACGCUGUGUCUUUAUUAUUGAAAAUCCCAGCUGUACUUUUCUCAUUGAGAGAAUGUACAGAUAGGAGCCUGGUCAAAACCCUACUCAUCAGGGCAGGUCAUGGGUUCCUGGUUGCUCAUUAUAAUAUUUAAAAAAUAAAAUCACAAAUACAUAAAAAAGGUGGUAUCUACACGGAUCAGCGAGAAGGGCAUGCCACACACACACAUUUUAAUUAAUGUGAUUCAGCUCCACCGAUGGUCGAUUAAAAAGACCUAAGCUGUUUUUAUUUUAUGCCAUUGCUGAUAGCACCACAGAGAACAUUCUGGUAGCUAAGCUUUUGAACACAUCCCUGACUGUGUUUACCCCAGCUCCUUAAUGGGAGGAAAUGGGGGGGAUAGCUGAGUAAAUGGUUUGCACAGAUUUAUUUUCAUUGAACGAUCUUUCUGAAAUACCAUUUUGACCUUGUUACCAUCUCACCUUCCAAUCCAGUCCUCUAGCUGACUUCCCACAGCUUCCGGGAUGUCAUCCAAGGGGAAAGGAAAAAGAAAAGGAAAAAAGCCUGAUACUUAAGUCUGUUGAGCCUCUGGCUCAACCUCAUGCUCUAUCACCCUAUGUCCUCACUGGACAGACUGUGCUUAGGGUUAUGAACAACCUUGACAUACCACCCCCAAUAUUAAAUAGUAAUAUUUAUAAUAGUAAUAGUAAUAGUAAACCCCUAGUAAGAUAUGUGCCCCACCUAUGUCCAAAAUUCCUCAGACCGUGGUCAGUGGAACUGUGGUGCCUUGCCCAUAAGAUUUUUUUCCCUUCCCCUGUAAUUAACUGAGGGGAUCAGAUGUUAAUCACCUGUUCUUUUGUCCCCUCCAGAAACCCUGUCUGUGUUUCCAGAGACUGACUUCUGAGACCCUCCCUGGUCAGAGGGCUGUGUCACACGCUGUGUGGUGCUGAUCUCUGUCCAAAGUACCUUCCUGGCACUUUCAAGGGGCGUGUGGGGUUCUCAGAGGUAAGUACAGCUUGAAAUUCAGGGCUUUAACCAAAUGCAACCUUAGUGAGGCUCACGUUCUACCUAAAAAUGGGGAUAAUUUUGGAUGCCUCUCAGGGCCAUCAGGCAAGUUGGAAACAGGUACAUACAUAUCCCCCAGACCCAUAUCAAACAAACAAACAAAAAGACGCAGUAGCCAGCCGCUGCUACUUGAAUUAUUCGUUUUUUUUUUUUUUUCCCCCGGAAAUCUCUAAAAGAGCUGGACUGAAUAUACAAGUCAGAGCUGGCUAUCGUUCACAAAACAAAAGGCACCUGGCAGGCCAGGGCCCCUGAGUGAUUUAGAUAUAGCGUAUGCUACAUCUCAACCGGGACAGCCUGCAGCCCAGGGGGCUAUGUCCAGGGACCCCCACAGGGCGUUGGUCCACUAGAUGGCACUCUCUGCUGUGUGUCCAGGGCAGACCACUCCCCAAGGUACUCAAGCCACAGCGGAAAUAUCCCAGGUAAUUCUAAAACAUCAUCUCCACAUGCCGUGCAAAACGCAGUGGUUUUUCUCCCCACAUCCAUCCCAGCCCGGCAGCAGAAACACAGAGAGCAAAGAUUUCAUAACAAUUUGCUGAGACCAAACACUAGACAGCCCACUCCCCCUUUUAAUUCUCCGUCCCUGCUACAUCUGAUUGCUCAUUAUUUUACAGAUGAGAGGAUGAUGAGGGGACAAGAAUUUGCCCAGGAUCGGCUAGUAAGCAGGACCCGGGGCUCCAGCCCAGGUUUGUCUGAUUCCCUUGCAAAACAGAGAGGUGGAAGGAUGGAGAAUCGGUCUGAUGGAUGGGGCUGAUCAUUCUCAGACGAUUUUGCCCUGUCCUCAGCAUCUAGACCUAUUGCCUAGCACAGAAUGGGAGGGAGGAUGUCUGGUGCCUAGUCUCAUCCACACCGAGGAAUGUCCGCGUGUCCACAGCAGUCUGCACGGUACCCGCAUGGAGGCCCUAAUGUGAAUGGAGACUAGCCUGCUGGGUGAGACCUUGGCAGUGACCACUGUGGGCAAUGAGCCAUGGGCCAACAAUUCUAUGUGAGCCUGUCUCUAAUAUUGAAGAUUUAUAUAUCUUAAUGGGCAAGAACCAUAAAGGUAUUGUCAAGUUUAAUAGUGGCAUGCUAAGUGGUUGUUUUGAGUGUAUUCUUAUAUUAUCAAAUGGCUUCAACUAAUGAUUAGUGAAUACUAAAAUGCUCAGAAUGUAGCUCAGUCUGAGAAUACUUUCCUAUCAUAAGUCAGGUCCUGUGUUUCAUUCCCAGCUCCACACAAUUAUGCUGGAGUCUACCUGUGGCACAAAGAUGAUAAUAUGAUGAUUUUUGAUUAGUUCAGAUCAACAGAAGUGUAAUUCAAAAAUGAAAGAUCUCAAUCCACUUCAACACAACUCUAUUAACACAUAAUUCCAUGAUGUACCGCUGAUGGUGCCUGUCUGAACCUGAGACACUGUGGGCCAGGAAUCAAGGGACUCAUUUUGUGCUUGACUUCACCAAGUGGAUACACCCCCUCCAACUGAAUCAUCCUGGAAUGCCAAAGGUCUAGGUUUUUACCUCUGUGGGUAAGGAAAGAAGAGAUUUAUAGAUUUUAUCAUGUUCUAGUCAUGAUGACCACCUCCGUGCAUCCAAACUCAGAGCAUGAAGCCCCAGGUAAGCAAACAUCCAUGUUGAUGUACUGGGAUUGUGUGGGCCUCCUUUACAGUCGCCAGCUAAACAAUCUUAGUACAUUAAAUUUUUAAAUAAGAUCUGAAUUGAGGAGUGCCAAUCAUGGGCUUGCAAGUGAAAUAUCUCAUGAACACCAACAAAAAAAUUAUGCCUAAUUCAAUUCAACUCAACUAAGGACCAUUCCUAAAGAGAUGAUAGACAUUCUACACAUUUGACUGCCCUAUAAAGCAUCAGAUAUGGCUGCUUCAUAGAGCCCUUCCCUAGCAAACAGCUUACUGUGAACUCCUCAUAGCAGAAGUACAGUAGAGGAUAGCAGAUGUCAGUCCCGUCAAGUUUGUGCCUUUAUGUAGGUUUCAACCAGCUUUGAGAGACAGACGCCCAUCGUGAGAUAGGGCUUGACAAGAAACCAGUCUGCUGAUUAAUCCACAUGUUCCAACUAGAUGCUCUCAGAGAUAAACAAUACAGGCUAUUUUCUCUACAAAACAAAACAAAACUACUGGUUACUCAGACGUCCAUGAACGAUCACAUCAACUUAAGAAAGUGUUACUGGAGAGUAGGACGCCAUGCCUGCAUCUUAUGACGCCUGCUGGUAGAGGCAUGUGAAGCAGCAGCUCAGGGAAAGCCUGAGGGUAACUCUGAGGUCCAUUACUCAGUGAGAGAUAGACAAGGUUUUGUGUAGAAAUUGUCUGUGAGCAGAAGUUGGAAAAAUUCUGUCAACUUUCCCCUCUGGAUUUUGUUAUUCAAUGAUAUGAAGCUUGUUAUUUGAAGAGAAUUGCUAUAUAAGUAGGAAUUAGAUACAUAAUAUAAGACAUGAUACAUAAGAAAGACACACCUAUUUGUCCAACAAAUAAUAUAAUAAGCCAAGGAUAAUUAAUGCUAUUGCUUGCUGAAAAGCAAGAACACUUGUUAAUUGGAAACAAAUCAGGAGGGAUCUGUAACCCUCUUUCAUAUUGAGCAUGUUAGUAGCUGUAGUUAAGAGAGUUGCUUGGGUGGGUACUGUUCAUUAAGAAAAGGGAAAAUGCAUCAGCUAACAAUUUGUUCAAUACCCCCCUGAUUAAUAAAUGUUUCUAAUUGUUGUAGAAUUUAUUCUCAGGCAAGAUAGUGGACUUACAUGUUUACCAUAUUUAAAAUCCCAAGUUUGAUAUUAAAUCUAGAGUUCAUUAUUAUGUAAUUCUGCUUGACCCGUGAAAUUCUAAGUCUAUUCUAAUUCUUCUUUUCCCUCCUGUGGUGAAUGUAGGAGCCCUGAUUUAAUUAUUUAAUACGGAAUCAUUGUCCUGAGUAAGGAGCAUAGUUGAGAAUAAAGAAUGAGUGCGGCUGCUAUGGCUUCAUUAUUACCUUCUGGGAAGACCUUGCCUGUUUACCUCUGCAAAAGGAGGGAAGACACAAUUGUGCAUCCCUCAAAAGCAGUGGCUCGGUCUGCUUUAAACAAUGGGACACAUUAAUAAUCUCUACACACACUCUCGGUGUUUACCUGAAGACCCAAAACCUGUGAUGAUGUUUGACACCGUGUUUCCUGGCUGGGAGGUCCGUGGUUGCCCUGUCCCCAUGUGUUGAGGAUCAAGGGAAGUGAUAUUACCCUUCUAUCUGGAUCACGAUGUCUACGGCUAGCCUAGGGUCUUUGGAGCACAGUGAUCAUUGCUCAUCCCUCAGAAGGAAUGGCUUCUGUCUGCUUUAAACACUGGGCCACACCCAUAAUCCCUAUACUUAAUCUCAGUGCUUAUACGAAGACCCAAAUCCUGUUGCUCAUCUCACAGAAGGAAUGGCUUCAGUCUGCUCUAAACACUGGGCCACACCCAAACUCUCUACACUUCCUCUUGGUGUUUACAUGAAGACCCAAAAUCGGAUGAUGAUUGACACCGUGUUUCCUGGCUGGGAGGUCCGUGGUUGCCCUGUCCCCAUGUGUUGAGGAUCAAGGGAAGUGAUAACCUUCAUCCAGUACUAAUGGAAGCAGAUGCAGAGAUCCACAGCUAAGCCCUUUGUGGAGCUCCCGGAGUCCAGUUGAAGCAAAGGAGGAGAGAUUAUAUGAGCAAAGGGGACAAGAUCAUGAUGGGGAAAGCCACAGAGACCUGAGCUCAUGGGAGCUCACUGACUCUGGACUGACAACUGGGGAACCUGCAUGGGACCGAACUAGGCCCUCUGAAUGUGGGUGACAGUUGUGUGACUUGGACAACUUAUGGUGCCACUGGCAGUGGCACCAGGACUUAUCCUUCGUGCAUGAACUGGCUUUUUGGAGCCCAUUUCCCAUGGAAGGAUACCUUGCUCAGCCUUGAUGCAGCAGCUUGGUCCUGCCUGACCUUGAUAUGGCGGACUUCCUUGACUCCCCCUGGGAGGCCUUACCUUCUCUGAGGACUGGAUAGGAGGUUGGGUGGAGGAAAAUUGGAGGGUGGGUGGGAUCAGCGGGCAGGGGAGAGGGAACUGUGGUUGGUAUCUAAUGUGAAAAAAAGAACUCUGAAAUAAAAAAAAAAUAAAAUGACAAAAUGGUGGUCAAAAUUCUUGUUAAGGUUAGAACUGGGUCUCCUGUGUACUUUCUCAAGAAGAAUGUAUCAACAUUGUAUAAUCGUAGAUGAUUGAAAUAAAAAAGAAACAACACAAGGGUCAUUGUAUAGAACAUGAUUUUGUGAUUUUGUGUAUAAUCCUUUCUUCUUUUCAUCUCUCUGGAUAUUCCUGAGUUGCCCUUCCUUGUGGAUCACGAUGUCUACGGCGAGCCUAGGGUCUUGGGAGCACAGUGACCAGUGCUCGUCCCACUGAAGGAAUGGCUCAGUCUGCUUUAAUCACUGGGCCACACCCAUAAUCUCUACACUUAUUCUCAGUGCUCACCUGAAGUCCAAAUCCUGUGUGAGUAAUAUUCAAAAUUAUUGUCUUGUUUUGCUCUAUGUUAUUAUAGUUUAGAGCAGAGGUUAGGUAUUCUGGAAAAAAACAAAAAACAAAAUAAAAUCAGAGGCACUUUUAUUGUUAAUGAAUUACUGUGCUAAAUAACAAACACACACAUAUUACUAGAUAGAGAAGAGGUAGGCUAUCACGGACCAAUGAUGACAAUUCCCCUGCGGCGAUAUAAGUCACGGACGAUGACUACAAUUAUGGGUGUCUGAGGUUCUUUCUCAUCAUCACACAUCUCAUUUGCUCCUGUUAGCCUGGAAAAACCACUAGGCUUGUGGAGCACAUACUGUUCAUUAGAAGCAUGCACUUUGAUGAAAUUUCUUAGUGGAUCAAUGGCAUGAUAUAAAUAUUCACACAAAUACAAAUGUAAAUAAAUAUGGUGGCAUUGAUCAAUGAGUAGAUAACUGUUCUACUACAAAUGCUACCGCUACUGCUUGUAGAUACUCUAGAAAUCUAUUAAAAGUUAAUUGGCUUAAAGAUGUAUAUAAACUUCAUCCAAGUUCACAUAAGAAGUAUAAUUAAUGGAUUAAGGCCCAGUGAGGGUCAAGACCUUAAUCUUAUAUCUCACGUGAUUUCUUAAGACACUAUCAUAACCAUGUCAUCCUAAGUAACGAAUAGUGAAAGGAGAGAUGUAGAACUCAUUUGAAAACUAUCAAUGUUUUUAUUAUCUUCUCUGCUGUGUAAUCCCUGGAUGGAUGAUGAUUGCCACCUGGUUUCCUGGCUGGGAGGUCCACGGUUGCCCAGUCCUCCUGUGUGAGGAUCAAGGGAACUGAUUGCUCAUCCCUCAGAAGGAAUGGCGUCAGUCUGCUCUAAACACUGGGCCAUACCCAAAAUCUCUACACUUCCUCUCGGUGUUUACAUGAAGACCCAAAGCUAUGAUGAUGAUUGACACCGUGUUUCCUGGCUGGGAGGUCCGUGGUUGCCCUGUCCCCAUGUGUUGAGGAUCAAGGGAAGUGAUGUAAGUGGAGUCAAGAUUUUUGUUUUGCUUUGGGUGGCCUUGGUCACACGUUUAGGUUGUCUUGGUAAAGGCAUGCAUAGGCUCCUGUUAGGCCAAUUGAGACUGCGUGCUCAAUUAAACAUGACCAUGAGCACCGUGUUGGGGAUUUCCAAAAUUAAGUAGAAAGACAGAAUCAGGGUGGCACAAAAUCUGUUGCAUAAUUUCAAAACAAAUCCAGAUUUUGUGACUUGUUACAGGACUACUGGGAGUGAGGCGGAUAGUUAGGUGAUAAAUAUAUAGAAAGUGUGAGAGAAAGGAAAAGGCAGUGUUGGAUCAAUGAUGACCACUGAUGACGAUUGAUCCAUGGAGCAUGACUACAGGUCUGAGUGUCUGAGCUUCACACCAGAACACAUGUAGUGUGGAAUUGUGAUAGAUGUCAGGUGUAGUGCGUGAUAGUGUAUUAUCAUAGUAUUUUUGUUCAUGAGUUUUCAUUACAUUCAUAUAAUUAGAGUCAAAUAAAACACAUGAGAGGGGAAGGGCUUCUCAAAUAAUACCAUGUAGUAAUGCUAAGAGUAUAUACAUAUAUAUAUAUAUAUAUAUAUGCAUCAAAGUUCAGGAACCCACUAGUAAUGGCUUUCCAGAGGUAUAAUCCCUUGGCUAAGGAUGCUUGGUGCUGUUUGCCAUGAUAGUCAAGUAAAGCCAGGGAUAACCAGGCUACAAUCCACAGCCCCAGAGAUACUAGGUAUCAAGGAGGACCUUAAGAGAGAUAGAUAGAUGUACAUGCCCCCUCCUGGGAAGGGGAAAUCAAUCAGAACUCCUGAGUGAAUUGCCAACCUGGGAGGAGGGGUGGAGAUAAGCGGAGGUGGAAAGAGAAGAAUGAGGGAAGUAGAUGGUGCAUUUGGGGGAGGGACAGAGAUGGAGAGACCUGAAAGAGAUGUCUUGAUGGAGGGAGCCAUUAUGGGGUAAGGAAGAAACCUCGUAGAAGGGAAAUUCCCAGGAAUCCACAAGGAUGAGCCCAGCUAAUACUCCGAGCCAUAGUGGAGGGGGUGCCUCAACUGGCCUUCUCCUCUAAUCAGAUUGAUGACUACCCUAAUUGUCAUCAUAGAACCUUCAUCCAGUACUAAUGGAAGCAGAUGCAGAGAUCCACAGCUAAGCACUUGUGGAGCUCCCGGAGUCCAGUUGAAGCAAAGGAGGAGAGAUUAUAUGAGCAAAGGGGACAAGAUCAUGAUGGGGAAAGCCACAGAGACCUGAGCUCAUGGGAGCUCACUGACUCUGGACUGACAACUGGGGAACCUGCAUGGGACCGAACUAGGCCCUCUGAAUGUGGGUGACAGUUGUGUGACUUGGACAACUUAUGGUGCCACUGGCAGUGGCACCAGGACUUAUCCUUCGUGCAUGAACUGGCUUUUUGGAGCCCAUUCCCCAUGGAGGGAUGCCUUGCUCAGCCUUGAUGCAGCAGCUUGGUCCUGCCUGGCCUUGAUAUGGCGGACUUCCUUGACUCCCCCUGGGAGGCCUUACCUUCUCUGAGGACUGGAUAGGAGGUUGGGUGGAGGAAAAUUGGAGGGUGGGUGGGAUCAGCGGGCAGGGGAGAGGGAACUGUGGUUGGUAUCUAAUGUGAAAAAAGAACUCUGAAAUAAAAAAAAAAAUAAAAUGACAAAAUGGUGGUCAAAAUUCUUGUUAAGGUUAGAACUGGGUCUCCUGUGUACUUUCUCAAGAAGAAUGUAUCAACAUUGUAUAAUCGUAGAUGAUUGAAAUAAAAAAGAAACAACACAAGGGUCAUUGUAUAGAACAUGAUUUUGUGAUUUUGUGUAUAAUCCUUUCUUCUUUUCAUCUCUCUGGAUAUUCCUGAGUUGCCCUUCCUUGUGGAUCACGAUGUCUACGGCGAGCCUAGGGUCUUGGGAGCACAGUGACCAGUGCUCGUCCCACUGAAGGAAUGGCUCAGUCUGCUUUAAUCACUGGGCCACACCCAUAAUCUCUACACUUAUUCUCAGUGCUCACCUGAAGUCCAAAUCCUGUGUGAGUAAUAUUCAAAAUUAUUGUCUUGUUUUGCUCUAUGUUAUUAUAGUUUAGAGCAGAGGUUAGGUAUUCUGGAAAAAAACAAAAAACAAAAUAAAAUCAGAGGCACUUUUAUUGUUAAUGAAUUACUGUGCUAAAUAACAAACACACACAUAUUACUAGAUAGAGAAGAGGUAGGCUAUCACGGACCAAUGAUGACAAUUCCCCUGCGGCGAUAUAAGUCACGGACGAUGACUACAAUUAUGGGUGUCUGAGGUUCUUUCUCAUCAUCACACAUCUCAUUUGCUCCUGUUAGCCUGGAAAAACCACUAGGCUUGUGGAGCACAUACUGUUCAUUAGAAGCAUGCACUUUGAUGAAAUUUCUUAGUGGAUCAAUGGCAUGAUAUAAAUAUUCACACAAAUACAAAUGUAAAUAAAUAUGGUGGCAUUGAUCAAUGAGUAGAUAACUGUUCUACUACAAAUGCUACCGCUACUGCUUGUAGAUACUCUAGAAAUCUAUUAAAAGUUAAUUGGCUUAAAGAUGUAUAUAAACUUCAUCCAAGUUCACAUAAGAAGUAUAAUUAAUGGAUUAAGGCCCAGUGAGGGUCAGGACCUUAAUCUUAUAUCUCACGUGAUUUCUUAAGACACUAUCAUAACCAUGUGAAUCCUAAGUAACGAAUAGUGAAAGGAGAAAUGUAGAACUCAUUUGAAAACUAUCAAUGUUUUUAUUAUCUUCUCUGCUGUGUAAUCCCUGGAUGGAUGAUGAUUGCCACCUGGUUUCCUGGCUGGGAGGACCACGGUUGCCCAGUCCUCCUGUGUGAGGAUCAAGGGAACUGAUUGCUCAUCCCUCAGAAGGAAUGGCGUCAGUCUGCUCUAAACACUGGGCCAUACCCAAAAUCUCUACACUUCCUCUCGGUGUUUACAUGAAGACCCAAAGCUAUGAUGAUGAUUGACACCGUGUUUCCUGGCUGGGAGGUCCGUGGUUGCCCUGUCCCCAUGUGUUGAGGAUCAAGGGAAGUGAUAACCUUCAUCCAGUACUAAUGGAAGCAGAUGCAGAGAUCCACAGCUAAGCACUUUGUGGAGCUCCCGGAGUCCAGUUGAAGCAAAGGAGGAGAGAUUAUAUGAGCAAAGGGGACAAGAUCAUGAUGGGGAAAGCCACAGAGACCUGAGCUCAUGGGAGCUCACUGACUCUGGACUGACAACUGGGGAACCUGCAUGGGACCGAACUAGGCCCUCUGAAUGUGGGUGACAGUUGUGUGACUUGGACAACUUAUGGUGCCACUGGCAGUGGCACCAGGACUUAUCCUUCGUGCAUGAACUGGCUUUUUGGAGCCCAUUCCCCAUGGAGGGAUGCCUUGCUCAGCCUUGAUGCAGCAGCUUGGUCCUGCCUGGCCUUGAUAUGGCGGACUUCCUUGACUCCCCCUGGGAGGCCUUACCUUCUCUGAGGACUGGAUAGGAGGUUGGGUGGAGGAAAAUUGGAGGGUGGGUGGGAUCAGCGGGCAGGGGAGAGGGAACUGUGGUUGGUAUCUAAUGUGAAAAAAGAACUCUGAAAUAAAAAAAAAAAUAAAAUGACAAAAUGGUGGUCAAAAUUCUUGUUAAGGUUAGAACUGGGUCUCCUGUGUACUUUCUCAAGAAGAAUGUAUCAACAUUGUAUAAUCGUAGAUGAUUGAAAUAAAAAAGAAACAACACAAGGGUCAUUGUAUAGAACAUGAUUUUGUGAUUUUGUGUAUAAUCCUUUCUUCUUUUCAUCUCUCUGGAUAUUCCUGAGUUGCCCUUCCUUGUGGAUCACGAUGUCUACGGCGAGCCUAGGGUCUUGGGAGCACAGUGACCAGUGCUCGUCCCACUGAAGGAAUGGCUCAGUCUGCUUUAAUCACUGGGCCACACCCAUAAUCUCUACACUUAUUCUCAGUGCUCACCUGAAGUCCAAAUCCUGUGUGAGUAAUAUUCAAAAUUAUUGUCUUGUUUUGCUCUAUGUUAUUAUAGUUUAGAGCAGAGGUUAGGUAUUCUGGAAAAAAAACGAAAAACAAAAUAAAAUCAGAGGCACUUUUAUUGUUAAUGAAUUACUGUGCUAAAUAACAAACACACACAUAUUACUAGAUAGAGAAGAGGUAGGCUAUCACGGACCAAUGAUGACAAUUCCCCUGCGGCGAUAUAAGUCACGGACGAUGACUACAAUUAUGGGUGUCUGAGGUUCUUUCUCAUCAUCACACAUCUCAUUUGCUCCUGUUAGCCUGGAAAAACCACUAGGCUUGUGGAGCACAUACUGUUCAUUAGAAGCAUGCACUUUGAUGAAAUUUCUUAGUGGAUCAAUGGCAUGAUAUAAAUAUUCACACAAAUACAAAUGUAAAUAAAUAUGGUGGCAUUGAUCAAUGAGUAGAUAACUGUUCUACUACAAAUGCUACCGCUACUGCUUGUAGAUACUCUAGAAAUCUAUUAAAAGUUAAUUGGCUUAAAGAUGUAUAUAAACUUCAUCCAAGUUCACAUAAGAAGUAUAAUUAAUGGAUUAAGGCCCAGUGAGGGUCAAGACCUUAAUCUUAUAUCUCACGUGAUCUCUUAAGACACUAUCAUAACCAUGUGAAUCCUAAGUAACGAAUAGUGAAAGGAGAAAUAUAGAACUCAUUUGAAAACUAUCAAUGUUUUUAUUAUCUUCUCUGCUGUGUAAUCCCUGGAUGGAUGAUGAUUGCCACCUGGUUUCCUGGCUGGGAGGACCACGGUUGCCCAGUCCUCCUGUGUGAGGAUCAAGGGAACUGAUUGCUCAUCCCUCAGAAGGAAUGGCGUCAGUCUGCUCUAAACACUGGGCCAUACCCAAAAUCUCUACACUUCCUCUCGGUGUUUACAUGAAGACCCAAAGCUAUGAUGAUGAUUGACACCGUGUUUCCUGGCUGGGAGGUCCGUGGUUGCCCUGUCCCCAUGUGUUGAGGAUCAAGGGAAGUGAUAACCUUCAUCCAGUACUAAUGGAAGCAGAUGCAGAGAUCCACAGCUAAGCACUUGUGGAGCUCCCGGAGUCCAGUUGAAGCAAAGGAGGAGAGAUUAUAUGAGCAAAGGGGACAAGAUCAUGAUGGGGAAAGCCACAGAGACCUGAGCUCAUGGGAGCUCACUGACUCUGGACUGACAACUGGGGAACCUGCAUGGGACCGAACUAGGCCCUCUGAAUGUGGGUGACAGUUGUGUGACUUGGACAACUUAUGGUGCCACUGGCAGUGGCACCAGGACUUAUCCUUCGUGCAUGAACUGGCUUUUUGGAGCCCAUUCCCCAUGGAGGGAUGCCUUGCUCAGCCUUGAUGCAGCAGCUUGGUCCUGCCUGGCCUUGAUAUGGCGGACUUCCUUGACUCCCCCUGGGAGGCCUUACCUUCUCUGAGGACUGGAUAGGAGGUUGGGUGGAGGAAAAUUGGAGGGUGGGUGGGAUCAGCGGGCAGGGGAGAGGGAACUGUGGUUGGUAUCUAAUGUGAAAAAAGAACUCUGAAAUAAAAAAAAAAUAAAAUGACAAAAUGGUGGUCAAAAUUCUUGUUAAGGUUAGAACUGGGUCUCCUGUGUACUUUCUCAAGAAGAAUGUAUCAACAUUGUAUAAUCGUAGAUGAUUGAAAUAAAAAAGAAACAACACAAGGGUCAUUGUAUAGAACAUGAUUUUGUGAUUUUGUGUAUAAUCCUUUCUUCUUUUCAUCUCUCUGGAUAUUCCUGAGUUGCCCUUCCUUGUGGAUCACGAUGUCUACGGCGAGCCUAGGGUCUUGGGAGCACAGUGACCAGUGCUCGUCCCACUGAAGGAAUGGCUCAGUCUGCUUUAAUCACUGGGCCACACCCAUAAUCUCUACACUUAUUCUCAGUGCUCACCUGAAGUCCAAAUCCUGUGUGAGUAAUAUUCAAAAUUAUUGUCUUGUUUUGCUCUAUGUUAUUAUAGUUUAGAGCAGAGGUUAGGUAUUCUGGAAAAAAACAAAAAACAAAAUAAAAUCAGAGGCACUUUUAUUGUUAAUGAAUUACUGUGCUAAAUAACAAACACACACAUAUUACUAGAUAGAGAAGAGGUAGGCUAUCACGGACCAAUGAUGACAAUUCCCCUGCGGCGAUAUAAGUCACGGACGAUGACUACAAUUAUGGGUGUCUGAGGUUCUUUCUCAUCAUCACACAUCUCAUUUGCUCCUGUUAGCCUGGAAAAACCACUAGGCUUGUGGAGCACAUACUGUUCAUUAGAAGCAUGCACUUUGAUGAAAUUUCUUAGUGGAUCAAUGGCAUGAUAUAAAUAUUCACACAAAUACAAAUGUAAAUAAAUAUGGUGGCAUUGAUCAAUGAGUAGAUAACUGUUCUACUACAAAUGCUACCGCUACUGCUUGUAGAUACUCUAGAAAUCUAUUAAAAGUUAAUUGGCUUAAAGAUGUAUAUAAACUUCAUCCAAGUUCACAUAAGAAGUAUAAUUAAUGGAUUAAGGCCCAGUGAGGGUCAAGACCUUAAUCUUAUAUCUCACGUGAUCUCUUAAGACACUAUCAUAACCAUGUGAAUCCUAAGUAACGAAUAGUGAAAGGAGAAAUAUAGAACUCAUUUGAAAACUAUCAAUGUUUUUAUUAUCUUCUCUGCUGUGUAAUCCCUGGAUGGAUGAUGAUUGCCACCUGGUUUCCUGGCUGGGAGGACCACGGUUGCCCAGUCCUCCUGUGUGAGGAUCAAGGGAACUGAUUGCUCAUCCCUCAGAAGGAAUGGCGUCAGUCUGCUCUAAACACUGGGCCAUACCCAAAAUCUCUACACUUCCUCUCGGUGUUUACAUGAAGACCCAAAGCUAUGAUGAUGAUUGACACCGUGUUUCCUGGCUGGGAGGUCCGUGGUUGCCCUGUCCCCAUGUGUUGAGGAUCAAGGGAAGUGAUGUAAGUGGAGUCAAGAUUUUUGUUUUGCUUUGGGUGGCCUUGGUCACACGUUUAGGUUGUCUUGGUAAAGGCAUGCAUAGGCUCCUGUUAGGCCAAUUGAGACUGCGUGCUCAAUUAAACAUGACCAUGAGCACCGUGUUGGGGAUUUCCAAAAUUAAGUAGAAAGACAGAAUCAGGGUGGCACAAAAUCUGUUGCAUAAUUUCAAAACAAAUCCAGAUUUUGUGACUUGUUAUAGGACUACUGGGAGUGAGGCGGAUAGUUAGGUGAUAAAUAUAUAGAAAGUGUGAGAGAAAGGAAAAGGCAGUGUUGGAUCAAUGAUGAUCACUGAUGACGAUUGAUCCAUGGAGCAUGACUACAGGUCUGAGUGUCUGAGCUUCACACCAGAACACAUGUAGUGUGGAAUUGUGAUAGAUGUCAGGUGUAGUGCGUGAUAGUGUAUUAUCAUAGUAUUUUUGUUCAUGAGUUUUCAUUACAUUCAUAUAAUUAGAGUCAAAUAAAACACAUGAGAGGGGAAGGGCUUCUCAAAUAAUACCAUGUAGUAAUGCUAAGAGUAUAUACAUAUAUAUAUAUAUAUAUAUAUAUAUAUAUAUAUGCAUCAAAGUUCAGGAACCCACUAGUAAUGGCUUUCCAGAGGUAUAAUCCCUUGGCUAAGGAUGCUUGGUGCUGUUUGCCAUGAUAGUCAAGUAAAGCCAGGGAUAACCAGGCUACAAUCCACAGCCCCAGAGAUACUAGGUAUCAAGGAGGACCUUAAGAGAGAUAGAUAGAUGUACAUGCCCCCUCCUGGGAAGGGGAAAUCAAUCAGAACUCCUGAGUGAAUUGCCAACCUGGGAGGAGGGGUGGAGAUAAGCGGAGGUGGAAAGAGAAGAAUGAGGGAAGUAGAUGGUGCAUUUGGGGGAGGGACAGAGAUGGAGAGACCUGAAAGAGAUGUCUUGAUGGAGGGAGCCAUUAUGGGGUAAGGAAGAAACCUCGUAGAAGGGAAAUUCCCAGGAAUCCACAAGGAUGAGCCCAGCUAAUACUCCGAGCCAUAGUGGAGGGGGUGCCUCAACUGGCCUUCUCCUCUAAUCAGAUUGAUGACUACCCUAAUUGUCAUCAUAGAACCUUCAUCCAGUACUAAUGGAAGCAGAUGCAGAGAUCCACAGCUAAGCACUUGUGGAGCUCCCGGAGUCCAGUUGAAGCAAAGGAGGAGAGAUUAUAUGAGCAAAGGGGACAAGAUCAUGAUGGGGAAAGCCACAGAGACCUGAGCUCAUGGGAGCUCACUGACUCUGGACUGACAACUGGGGAACCUGCAUGGGACCGAACUAGGCCCUCUGAAUGUGGGUGACAGUUGUGUGACUUGGACAACUUAUGGUGCCACUGGCAGUGGCACCAGGACUUAUCCUUCGUGCAUGAACUGGCUUUUUGGAGCCCAUUCCCCAUGGAGGGAUGCCUUGCUCAGCCUUGAUGCAGCAGCUUGGUCCUGCCUGGCCUUGAUAUGGCGGACUUCCUUGACUCCCCCUGGGAGGCCUUACCUUCUCUGAGGACUGGAUAGGAGGUUGGGUGGAGGAAAAUUGGAGGGUGGGUGGGAUCAGCGGGCAGGGGAGAGGGAACUGUGGUUGGUAUCUAAUGUGAAAAAAGAACUCUGAAAUAAAAAAAAAAAUAAAAUGACAAAAUGGUGGUCAAAAUUCUUGUUAAGGUUAGAACUGGGUCUCCUGUGUACUUUCUCAAGAAGAAUGUAUCAACAUUGUAUAAUCGUAGAUGAUUGAAAUAAAAAAGAAACAACACAAGGGUCAUUGUAUAGAACAUGAUUUUGUGAUUUUGUGUAUAAUCCUUUCUUCUUUUCAUCUCUCUGGAUAUUCCUGAGUUGCCCUUCCUUGUGGAUCACGAUGUCUACGGCGAGCCUAGGGUCUUGGGAGCACAGUGACCAGUGCUCGUCCCACUGAAGGAAUGGCUCAGUCUGCUUUAAUCACUGGGCCACACCCAUAAUCUCUACACUUAUUCUCAGUGCUCACCUGAAGUCCAAAUCCUGUGUGAGUAAUAUUCAAAAUUAUUGUCUUGUUUUGCUCUAUGUUAUUAUAGUUUAGAGCAGAGGUUAGGUAUUCUGGAAAAAAACAAAAAACAAAAUAAAAUCAGAGGCACUUUUAUUGUUAAUGAAUUACUGUGCUAAAUAACAAACACACACAUAUUACUAGAUAGAGAAGAGGUAGGCUAUCACGGACCAAUGAUGACAAUUCCCCUGCGGCGAUAUAAGUCACGGACGAUGACUACAAUUAUGGGUGUCUGAGGUUCUUUCUCAUCAUCACACAUCUCAUUUGCUCCUGUUAGCCUGGAAAAACCACUAGGCUUGUGGAGCACAUACUGUUCAUUAGAAGCAUGCACUUUGAUGAAAUUUCUUAGUGGAUCAAUGGCAUGAUAUAAAUAUUCACACAAAUACAAAUGUAAAUAAAUAUGGUGGCAUUGAUCAAUGAGUAGAUAACUGUUCUACUACAAAUGCUACCGCUACUGCUUGUAGAUACUCUAGAAAUCUGUUAAAAAGUAAUUGGUUUAAAGAUGUAUAUAAGGUUUAUCCAAGUUCAUAUAUGAAAUAUAAUUAAUGGAUUAAGCUCCACUUAGGUUCAAGACCUUAAUUUUAUAUCUCACUUGAAUUCUUAAGACACUAUCAUAACAAUAUGAAUCCUAAAUAACAAAUAUUGAAAGGAGGAGAAAUGUGGAAAUCAUUUGAUAAAUAUCAAUUUUUUAUUAUCAUUCUUCCUUUGUACUUCCUGGAAGGAUGAUGAUUGACACCGUGUUUCCUGGCUGGGAGGUCCGUGGUUGCCCUGUCCCCAUGUGUUGAGGAUCAAGGGAACUGAUGUAAGUGGAGUCAAAGUCCUUGUUUUCUUUUGGGUGGCCUUGAUCACACAUCUAUGUUGUCUUGGUAAAGGCAUGCAUUCGGAUCCUGUUAGGCCAAUUGAGACUGCAUGCUCAAUUAAACAUGACCAUGAGCACCGUGUUGGGGAUUUCCAAAAUUAAGUAGAAAGACAGAAUCAGGGUGGCACAAAAUCUGUUGCAUAAUUUCAAAACAAAUCCUGAUUUUGUGACUUGUUAUAGGACUGCUGCAAGUGAGGUGAAUAGUUGGGCGAUAAAUACAUAGAAAGUUUGAGAGAAAGGAAAAGGCAGUGUUGGAUCAAUGAUGACCACUGAUGAUGAUUGAUCCAUGGAGCACGACUGCCGGUCUGAGUGUCUGAUCUUCACACCAGAACACAUGUAGUGUGGAAUUGUGAUAGAUAUCAGGUGUAGUGCGUGAUAGUGUAUUAUCAUAGUAUUUUCCUUCAUGAGUUUUCAUUACAUUUAUAAUAUUAGAGUAAAAUAUAAUAAUAGGGGAAAUAUUCUCCACAAUAAUACCAAGUAGUAAUAUAUAUAUAUAUAUAUAUGUAUAUAUAUAUAUAUAUAUAUAUAUCAAAGUUCAGAACCCCACUAGUAAUGAAUUUCCAGAGGUAUAAUCCCUUCACUAAGGAUGCUCUUUUUAAAAUGGUGAUCCAAAUUCUUGUUAGGGUUAGAACCCAGUCUCCUGUGUAUUUUAUCAACAAGAAUUUUUUAUAGUUUUAUAUGCUAGAUAAAUAAAAUAAAAAAGAAACAGCACAGGGUCAUUUUAUAGAACUUGAUUGUGUUUAUAAUCCAUCCUUCCUUUCAUCUCUCAGGAUAUUCCCAAGAUGAGUUACCCUUCCAUCUGGAUCAUGAUGUCCAAGGCUAUCCUAGGGUUUUGGCAGCAUAAGAGGCCAUGUUCGUAAUUCUUAAAGGAAUUACAAAUUACUCCAGAAUGUCUCAUCUGGUUAAUGAUAGAUGGAAAAUAUCCUGGACACCGUUUCUUAAUAUUUUUAAGAUUAAAAUAAUCAGUUGACACAUUGAAUCAAAAAUUAUUCUAAAGCAUACUUAAGAAUUUCUCUAACGUAUACUUUAUAACCUAAUUAGAUAGUUUAUAUCUGUCUGAAUCUAUCUAUCUUUCUGUCCUGUCUAUUUAUAUCCAACUUUUAUCCUUCUAUCUGUCUGCCUCUUCAUCCAUCCAAUUAUCCCUUCAUCUGUCCAUCCAUCUAUAUAUCUGUCUGUCUGUUUGUCUGCCUGUUUAUCUAUAUACCUCUAUGUAUAUCAUCUAUAUGAUAUAUUGUGACAUUAAUAUUGUUCUUUUUCUCUUUAAUCAUAGCUAUAAUCACACUAUCAUAAAUAUGGAAAAACUGUAUUGUUAUUUCAAUUAAUGAAGCCAAAUUGUAGGAUAGUAGGGACUUUCUUAGUGAAACAGAUGGAUGGUUAAUCCAGUCCCAAAUGACUCUCUAGAAAAUGCAAAUAAACUGAACCAUUCAUGUUUUUUCAAUGGUGACUCUGUUUAUUUAGACACACUAUAUUGUUAUACCACUUUGAUGCUGUCUACUUGAAAUAUCUGGAAUAAAAAUUCCAUAUGCAUCUGGAUGACUGUUUGCAUAUUUACAUUUGACAGGCAGCUGCGGAGACUGAGUCAGGAUCUCCUUGCCUUCUACCUAGGUUCACUCAGAAGAUUUAGCACUUCCCGUCGAGUAGGGAAUGCGUAGCUAGACAGACACAUGGACCAGUUUUGCUUCUUACGGUUUUAUCUGGUAUUCAGUUGUAGGAAAGUUAAUACUUCUUGCACUUUGGACUCCCGGGGCUCCACCUAGGGCCUGGCCAUGGAUCUUUGCAUCUGCUUCCCUCAGUCAUUGGAUGAGAGUUCUACCACAACAGUUAGGGUGUUUGGCCAUCCGAUCACCAGAGUAGUGCUCAUCCCUCAGAAGGAUUGGCUUCAGUCUGCUUUAAACACUGGGCCACAUUCAUAAUCUCUACACUUCCUCUCGGUGUUUACGUGAAGACCCAAAACUUGUGUGAGUAAUAUUCAAUAUUAUUGUCUUGUUUUGCUCAGCGAAAUGCUCUGUAUUAUAGAGUAUUGAAUGUAUCUGAGCAAGGGAUUUGUUAUUCGGAAGAACAAAAUAAUAUCAGAGGCACUUUUAUUGUGUCUGAAUUAAUAUGUUAAACAAAAAACAUACACACAUUACUAGAGAAGAAGAAGGCUAACACGUACCGAUGAUGACUUGUUCUGACGAUAUUAGUCAUGGACGAUGACUACAAUUAAAAGUCUGAGGUUCAUAUCACAAUACAUCCUAUGUGCCCCUCUUAGCCAGGGAAUAAAAUUUAGGCAUUUGGGGCACAUAGUGGUCAUUAGCAUCAUGCAUUUUCUUUGUUGUAUCAAUGAAAAUUUUAUAAAUAUUUACAUAAAUAUAAAUGAAGAUAAAUUUUUGAGGCAUUGUUCAACUAGUAAAUAAAUAUUUUACCACAAAUGCUACUAUUAUUUGUGGAUACUAUGAAAGUCUGUUAAGAAAUAAUUGGCAUCAAGAUGUAUAUAAACUUUAUCCAAGUUCACAUAGAAAGUAUAAUUAGUGGAUUAAGCCCCAGUGAGGGUCAAGACCUUAAUUUUGAAUCUUACUUGAUUUCUUAAGACACUAUCAUAACAAUGUAAAAUCUAAAUAACAAAUAAUAAAAAGGAUAAAUGUAGAAAUAAUUUGAGAAAUAUCAAUGUUUUUAUUAUCUUCCCGGCUAUGUACUCCAUGGAUGUAUGCUGGGUAACACAUGAUUGCUGGGCUACAAGAUCCUGGGUUGCCCUGCCCUCUUGCAUGUGGAUCAAGGGAACUGAAGUAAGUGGAGUCAAAGUUGUUUUCUUUGUUUGCAUGGCCUUCAUAGAACAUUCCUAUCUUGGUAAAGGCUUGCAGAGGCUCCUAUCAGGUCAACUAUAAGUUUGUGCCCACUCCACAUGACAAAGCACACAAUGUUACCAAUUUCCAAAAUUAAGAGAAAAGAUAAUCCCGGUGGCACAAGAUCUUUUCAAUACCUUCAAACAUCAGGAUCCUGUGCUAGGAUUUUGUGAUUAAUUGUUAUGUAAAUAUUGAAAGAUACAGAUAUUUAGGCAAUGCAAAUAUAGAAUGUGGGCGAGAAGGAGUUGGGCAGUGUUGGGUAAGUGGUGACCACUUCCUGUAUGUCAUCAGUACCUCAUCAUUGUAGGUCUGGGGUUCAGAUCAGAACAUAAGUUGUGUUCAUCUGUGGAAGAGAUAUCCAGAGUGGUAUAUUAUGUUAUUUUGAUAUUCAUCUUCAUGAAUUUUCAUUCUUAUAAUUAAUCUAAAAUAUGUAUAAAAGAGGGCAGAGUAGUCUCAAUUUAAGAAAAUGAUGUCCUGACGGUUAUUAAGAAUAUAUGUCAAAUUUCAGAAGUCCAUUGUAAAUAAAUGGAGGAUAUUCAGAAGAAAGUAUCAUGCUUUCAUGCAAUUAGAUUGGUAAAAUAUAAAAUAAAGAACACAAGUGUCAUAGAAUAUAAUGAUGUGCAUAAUCUGUGUUGUUUUUCAACUCUAUGUGGUAUUCUCAACCUUGAGUUACCCUUCCUCCUUGGUCAUAGGGGUCCUGGCUAGCCUUGGGUGUUGGGAGUAUACCAGACUGUGGAGAUGGAGUUCAUGUUCUUGUGUCACGAUGAAUGAUUUUACUUACUGUUACAUAUACCUCAAGUAUGAUACCCUGGUUAAUGACAGAUGCAACAUUUGACAAAUUUUAUUGAUAUAUGUAAAUUUAGAAUCAAUAUGAUGGCACACUGGAUGACCAAAGGUCCUAUAAAUAGCUCUAAAGUAUAUUUAAGAAUAUCAGUGUAGGCUUUUAUAAACCCUGGUUAUCUGAUGAUUAUUACAAAAUAGAAAUGAAACAAAACGUGUAGGAUUCAUGUCAGAUAUAUGAUGACCCUUGUGCCAUUUUGAUUAUGGACCGCUAAUAAUGGUCUGUUUGUAUGAAGUCUACAUCCUAAAGCCUGUGGUUUAUACAUGGGUUCUAGGUACAGAUGUUAGGCACAGUCAAGGAUAUUUGUGUUAAUUAAUUUUCACUAUAUUUUUUACCUCAGACUACUGAAGUAAUCAUUGCACCACAAAGUAAUGACUGUUGUUAUUCAUCAUCAGUUAUGAAAAUAAAUACAUAAUAGAAAUUCUACAAAUAUGUGCAAAAUACCUUACUUAGAGCAUCUAUUAAUAUGGCCAAGGUCAACUCAGGAGAUGGUUUAAAAUAAUCUUACACCUUGUCGUCCUUCCUCAAGGAAUGUCAGGGAGGAAUCCAAGGCAGAAGCCUGGAAGCAUUUACUGAAGCAGAGAAAAUGGAGCAACUCAACUUGUUCUUUAUAACUUUCUUAGUCUGCUUUCUAGUAGCCCCCAAGAGUUCCUGCCCAGAAAGGCAGCAUCUACAGUGGGCUUAUCCCUCCCCCACCAGUCAUUCAUCAAGAAAAUGCACCACAGACUUGCCCAUAGGCUCAUUUGAUGAGACCAUUUUCUUAUUUGUGGUUCCUUCUUCCCAACUGAGUAGACCUUAUAUCAUGUUGACCAAAAAACUAGUAGAGUACCAUAAAACUAAUUAAAACAAUUGUUAAAACUUUGGUGAAAAGUACAGAAAAAGAACGUCUGUUAAGUGCUUGUUAGGACUUGGUGCAUGUUCAGUGUUAUUUAAUGUUGACUGAAAAGAAAAAGAAACCAAAACAAAAGAUCUCCCCAGAAUUUAAAUCCUUCAAGGUUAAUGACAUUGAAAGAGAAGUGUAAAAAUGAUCAGAUGCAAUGCAUAUAUUUUAAUCUGUUCUGCUUUGCACUCUCAGAAUUAAUGAGCCCAGGGCACUGUUGCAUUUUUCUUUGUUCCCAAGGUUUAUGUAUCCAGAGCAUAUAGACUAAUUUUUAGUCAUUAAAUGGUGUAACAGCUGAUUGAUAAAUUCAGCAUUGCUAGUGGAAUCUUGCUUAGUUAGUAUGUACAAAAGUAACAAUCACUCUGGAAAUGCAAAAAUAGGUCACAUGCAUGGCUAUGAAGCAUGCAUAAAGAUCUCAUUCUUAGGCCCUUGCAACUCACAGGACUCUACAUGUAAAAUGAUGGAUUAGUUAAUAAACAAUUAUAGAAAUUAAAAUAGUAGAUUUUAAGGGUUGGUAUUGGUUCAAAGAUUACCAUGGGUGCCAUAAUGAGUCAUGGAUCAUAACUAUAGGUCUAAGGACUCUAACAUCCACAUCCUAAAAGAUCUAAUCUAUACCCAUAAUCUCAGUGACAGAUGCUAGGAAUAAUCUUUUAUAAUUAGACACAAAUAUUAACAAAACUAAAUUGGUAAGACACUCUCCAACUAAAAAAUAAUUCUAGGGCUUGAGAGAUGGCUCAGUAGAUAGAAGAACUAGCUGCUCUUGCAUAUGACCCACGUUGGGUUCAUUCACCAAUAUAGCAUCUCACAACUGCCUGUAACUCUAGUUCUGGGGGAUCUGUUUCCUUCUUAUGGCCUUUGUAGGCAUCAUACCCAUUCGAUACACAUAUAUGCAUGUAGAUAAAAAAUACUCAUAUAGAUAAAAUAAAAAUAUGUUUGGGAAAAUAAUUCCACAGUGAAUGUUCUAAUAAUGUAUUAGUGAAUAUAUUAUUAAAUGUACUGAUAAUAUAUUCAUGAACACAGUAGCUCAGGAAGCACAGCAUGACUGAGGAUUCCACAUGAAGUAAAAUUAUAAGCAACCUUCUUUGUAUUGUCAGAGCUAUGUCCAGUGUUUUUAUUCUUAAUAGACUACAUCACAGUAUCAUACAUAUUUAGGUUUGUAUAAAAAAGAGAUAUUAAUUCAUGCAAGCAGAGUGCAUAAGUGAGUGAACAAAAUGUCAUUUUUUUUAAUGAUCUCUUCUGUGUUGUACUUAGAAUGGAUUCCACACCCAAGCUGAUUUUCACACUCUGUCUUGGUCAUGAGCCUCAUAAUGAGCUGUUUCAGACAGUAAAAUAGACACAGUGUGAAUACAGUCUGCAUUCUGAUGUCACUUCAUGAUGCUUCAAAAGGCCAUUUACUGUAUUGAUAAGAGCAACCAUGGAAAAUACUGAAUGUGGUAUGUGUUUGAAACACAAGAUUGGAUAAAAUGUUGUCCAAUUAAGGAUAUGUAAUGAAAAAGGUCCUGGCAAAAGAUAUGGAGGAACUCUGUAUUAUACUUAAGGGUCUUGUCGUUAGAUUUUUUUUGUGAGCUAAAAUUAUCUCAGUAGUAGUAGUGAUCAAUUGCUCAAUAAAUGUGCCUAAAUUAAUAGAGAAGAGGAAGGCUGAUGUUGGAUCAAUGAUGACCAUGGGUGCUGUAUGAGUCAUAGAUUGUGACUACAGGUCUGCGAGUCUGAGGUUCACAUCACAAUCUACCCAGUGUAUUCUAUUAUCUUAGUGAGAGAUCUUAGGGAUAAUUAGGUAAAAUAUAAAUUAAAAGAAAUUUAGAAGUCCUUUUCUAAUUAAGACAUAAUCCCAUCACAAUAAUGCUAAAUGUAUAUACUAAAGAGUAAUUCACUCAGACAUGAUGACUGAAGAUGCCUCAUGAGCUUUAAUCAUUGGCAAUGUUCAUGGUAGGACCAAAGCCUUGGCCAUUGGUUUUCUUAAGUACAGUAUACCAUAGGGUAAUGAAUACUUAGAUAAGGGAUGAUAAGAAUGAAUGAGUAAGAGAAGUGACAAAAUGCAUGGAUAAGUAAACAGAACGCCAAUCUUUUUAUAAUUUCUUCUGCUUUAUACUCUCAGAAUGGAUACCUCCAAGCUGUUUUACGUAUUUUUCUUUGUCCUGAAGUUUGAAGUUCACUGUUCAUGUAUGAAAGAUAAAGAAUGUAAUUGGUAACCCCAAGCUGAUGUAUAUAUUCUUCCUUGGUUGUGAGAUUCCUGCUCUGGUCAUUGUGGUCCUAAGACAGACACCGUUGUGUGUAGUCAAUGUUCAUGUCUUGGGUUUGGUUACCUUCUAACGACUACGUACACUAUUGUUGAACUACUGCUCUUCCUCUAAAAGAACAACCUUUUCCAAAUGAAUGAACACACGCAGGCUGAUUUACAUACUCUUCCUUGGUUGUGAGCUUCUUGAUCAGCUCUUUGUGCUUGCAAUAUAGACACCGUAAUGGAGACCCCCAGGCUGAUUUCUCCAUACAUCUUUGGUCUUGAGCUUCGUGGUCAUGUCUUUGGGCUCAUAAUAUGGACAGAGUGAUGGAUUUCCCUCCAGACUUGAUUUACAUGUUCUCCUUUGGUUUGGGGCUUCCUGAUCAGCUCUUUGGGCUUGUUAUAAAGACACAGUAACAGAUACCCCCAAGCUGAUUUUACACACAUUCCUUGGUCAUGAGCUUCUUGAUCUGCUGUUUGUAUUCAUAGGAUAGAUACAGUGGAUGGAUUUCCCCCAAAGUUGAUUUACACAUUCUCCUUUGGUUGUGAUCUUCAUGAUUAGCUCUUUGGGUUCGUAAUAAUAGAUACAGUAAUAGAUGCCUUCAUCACUGAUCACCGGGUUCAUGGAGCAUAGGGACCAAUAAAUGCCAGCUCCAGAACAAUAAAUGGAUCCUGCCUGCUCCUGAGUUCUUAAGCUGCCUGUGUUUUUAGGAUCCCAGCUACAAUUGGAUCAGGGAACCCUCUGGAAGAGGAGGUGAAAAGAUUGUAUGAAUCUAUGCAAUGGAAGACACCAAGGAAGCAAGGCCUUCUAGAUACAACAGAACUGAUGCAGAUAUGAGCUCAUAGAGACUGUGGCAGCAUGCACAGGCCUGUACAGGUCUAAGCCAGAUGAGCUCCCAGCACUGAGAGGGCAAGUGGACACAACCCCAUAUCCCUAACCCAGAAGCUAUCUGUAAUUGAUAACCUCUCCCAGAGGAAAAACUGUAUUUCUCCAAUGGAAUCUCACUUGAUAUAUAAAACACCCUCAGAUGUGUUGGCUCAGAUGGCCAACACAAAAU